UACGGAGGGUGCAAGCGUUAUCCGGAUUCACUGGGUUUAAAGGGUGCGUAGGAGGGCGAAUAAGUCAGUGGUGAAAUCUUCGAGCUUAACUCGGAACUGCCGUUGAUACUAUUUGUCUUGAAUAUCGUGGAGGUGAGCGGAAUAUGUCAUGUAGCGGUGAAAUGCUUAGAUAUGACAUAGAACACCAAUUGCGAAGGCAGCUGGCUACACGAAUAUUGACACUGAGGCACGAGAGCGUGGGGAGCGAACCGG
rnacentral:rRNA from 1 species